rnacentral:misc_RNA from 1 species
CUCCUGUACUCUCUCCAUAGUUUGGAGACGUCAGUGAAUAGGAAGCAGAGAGAUGGAUCCGUACCCUUCGUCCUCAGCGCUAAUAGCCCAGAAAACCUGGGAACUCGAGAACAAUGUAAUCACCGUGGACACGCCCCCAACCUCCACCAAUUCGACGGCGGACGCCUCGUCAGACGCCAUUUUCUACUACGAUGAGACGGCGCAAGCUAAGUUCCAGCAGGACAGGCC